AUUCCAGCUCCAAUAGCGUAUAUUAAAGUUGUUGCAGUUAAAAAGCUCGUAGUCGGAUUUUGGCAUCACGCCGAACUGUCUGCCGAUUGGUAAGUACGGUUUGGCGGGUGCUUCCUUCCGGAGGCUCGUUCCCUUCUUCAUUGAAGGGUUCGUUGGUUCCGGGUCUUUUACUUUGAGAAAAUUAGAGUGUUCAAAGCAGGCCUAUGCUCUGAAUAGGUUAGCAUGGAAUAAUAGAAUAGGACUUUGGUUCUAUUUUGUUGGUUUCUAGGGCCGAAGUAAUGAUUAAUAGGGACAGUUGGGGGCAUUAGUAUUUAUUAGCCAGAGGUGGAAUUCUCUAAUUUGAUAAAGACUAACUUAUGCGAAAGCAUUUGCCAAGGAUGUUUUCAUCA
rnacentral:rRNA from 1 species